rnacentral:rRNA from 1 species
CAGCCGCCGCGGGAAUACGAAGGGUGCAAGCGUUAGUCGGAAUUACUGGGCGUAAAGCGUGCGUAGGCGGUUUGUUAAGUCUGUUGUGAAAUCCCCGGGCUCAACCUGGGAAUGGCAAUGGAUACUGGCAAGCUAGAGUGUGUCAGAGGAUGGUGGAAUUCCCGGUGUAGCGGUGAAAUGCGUAGAGAUCGGGAGGAACAUCAGUGGCGAAGGCGGCCAUCUGGGACAACACUGACGCUGAGGCACGAAAGCGUGGGGAGCAAACAGGAUUAGAUACCCCUGUAGUCCCUGUCUCUUAUAC